UACGUAGGGGGCUAGCGUUGUCCGGAAUCAUUGGGCGUAAAGCGCGCGUAGGCGGCCAGAUAAGUCCGGUGUGAAAGUCACAGGCUCAACCUGUGAAUGCCGCUGGAAACUGUCUGGCUAGAGUCCGGAAGGGGCGAGUGGAAUUCCUGGUGUAGCGGUGAAAUGCGCAGAUAUCAGGAGGAACACCAAUGGCGAAGGCAGCUCGCUGGGACGGUACUGACGCUGAGGCGCGAAAGCUAGGGGGAGCAAACAGG
rnacentral:rRNA from 1 species